rnacentral:rRNA from 1 species
GUAGGUGGCAAGCGUUGUCCGGAAUUAUUGGGCGUAAAGUGCGCGCAGGCGGUUCUUUAAGUCUGAUGUGAAAGCCCACGGCUCAACCGUGGAGGGUCAUUGGAAACUGGAGAACUUGAGUACAGAAGAGGAAAGCGGAAUUCCACGUGUAGCGGUGAAAUGCGUAGAGAUGUGGAGGAACACCAGUGGCGAAGGCGGCUUUCUGGUCUGUAACUGACGCUGAGGCGCGAAAGCGUGGGGAGCAAACAGGGAUUAGAUACCCUGGUAGUCCACGCCGUAAACGAUGAGUGCUAAGUGUUAGGGGGUUUCCGCCCCUUAGUGCUGCAGCUAACGCAUUAAGCACUCCGCCUGGGGAGUACGGCCGCAAGGCUG